UUGGAUUGUUUAUAUCUAACCCGGAACAAUUACAGAGACGUAUAAAUGUCUAUAGGUGGGUUUUCCGAAGGGGAAUUCCCUAUUUCAAUGGCCAUGAUGCGAAUCUGAGGCAGGCCCAAGUAUGUCUGAGGAUAUUGCGGUGCGGAUUGUCUAAAAGGCGAUAUGUCCUCCGUCCCAGACAGAACUUACAGUUCCUGUCAGAAUUAUUCCUGGAGCACUACUGACAUACUAGGGCGCGGGGCGACAGCUGUUGUAUUCAAAGCCAGAAAUAAGACAUCGGGGGAGGUGUUUGCCGUGAAGGUGUUCCACGAUCGUGUCUCCACCUACCAUUCCUCAGUUCCCGAGCGUGAACUAGACCUCCUCCGAAGAAUGAAGCACCGCAAUGUCAUCGGCAUACUUGGGCGAGAAAAAGAGAUAGGUACCGGAAAUGACGUCAUCGUGAUGGAAUACUGUUCGGGUGGAAGUCUAUACUCGAUGUUGGACAAACCUAAGUAUGCGUUCGGAUUUCCAGAAGAAGAAUUCCUUAUCGUUCUACAUGACAUAAGUGACGGUGUAGCAUACCUCCGAAAAAAUCAAAUUAUACACAGAGACAUAAAACCUGGGAAUAUCAUGCGGAAAAUAGACGAAAACGGAAGGUCAGUAUACAUGCUGACUGAUUUCGGGGCCGCUAGAGCUCUCGAAGAGGAAGAAACGUUUACGUCCAUCUAUGGAACUGAGGAAUAUUUGGACCCUAACAUGUAUGAGCGAGCUGUGUUACGUAGAACAACGGGAAAUGUGUACGACGCGGACGUUGAUUUGUGGAGUUUAGGUGUCACCAUAUACCACGUGGCAACAGGUUCUCUCCCCUUUCAGCCCUACGGAGGAAGAAGCAAUGCAACUACUAUGCACUACAUCACAAGUGAGAAAAAGUCUGGAGUGAUAUCCGGAAAACAGCGAUCGGAGGGCGGAGAUAUAGAAUGGAGCACUGAACUUCCAAGGACGUGCUCUCUAUCAGCGUCUCUAAAAUCCUUUGUAACCCCAAUGAUAGCAGGCCUGUUGGAAAGUAACCAGAAAAUGAGAUGGACGUUCGAUAAAUUCUUUAAUAGUACCAAUGAUAUAAUGAAUAAAAUCACCGUAAAGGUCUUUGAUUGCUCAACUGGAAUCAAUAAUAAACUCUACAUCGAUAAAACGGACCGAUACGCCCAAUUUCAAGAGGCUGUUGCAAAGACUACAGAGAUAGCAGCUGGAGAACAGUUAAUUUUAUUCCAUAAUAGAGAACUUAGUGAAAUUAUUGAAGGGACUAUACAAAUGCAAAACUGGCCCAAAAACUUAAUAAGAGGUCAAGUGUAUCUGUAUCAACGAGAGAAACUCGACCAACAAAGACUUGUGUUACCGGAAAUACCACCUCUACCACAAUUUCCUUCCAAAGUUACGCUCGAUCGAGAUUGUUAUGUAGCUCAUAAAAUGGCAGCGAUAUCUUGUUUAAUGGAACGCUAUAUUGCCAUGUGUAUAAUACAACAAGAAAUCAUGUUGCAAUCUGAAAAUUACCUACGGGACUAUAUUCUAAGGAUAACACGAAAAAUAAAUAAUUGUAUACCUGACAUGUGUAAGAUGCUGCAGGAACACAAAUCCCGCCAGAAUGUGUUCUACAACUGUUAUGAUUCCCAGCUUAGGAUGUGUGUAAUAUUGAGGAAGCCGAACCCGACCUCCACCACAGAUGCCGAAUUCUUGCGAUUGUUUGAUCGUCUCCAUGAAGUAGUCGAGGACAAAAAUCCCUGGACAGUACUGAAUAAGGCCGAGUCCAGGUCACAUGAGUGCAAAGUUUACAUGGAGGUUCUAAUGCAGAAAAUAAAAGAACAAGAGGACGAGGCUAUUGCGGUGUGUGUCGGAUGCUUGGAAGAGGAUCAUUGCAUGCAGAAAGCUGAGUAUAUAAAUUCUAAGGUCUGUGAUAUCCAUUUGGUGUUUCUCCGUCACAAGAAGCAAAGGAUACUCCCGGAGGAAGAAAGCUUUGGUCACGAGGCCGAUAGAGCAAAGCUAAUGGAUCUAUGUGUUCAGAUUGUCUCCCUUUUACAAAGCCAUUGUUUGUUGAAUCUUACCAGAGUUUAUAAUGUAGUUGGGAAACAGUUAUCAUUAUUGUUAAAAAACUUACAAAGAACUAAGAAAGUGGAACAAAAUAUCACUUCCGUCACCGAAUGUUGUGAAAAACUGAGCAAACGGAUGGAAAGGAUGGAAACGGAAUGUAAAGACCUUUCCUCUAAGUUAAUCCCUGCAGUGCAUUCAUUGAUGAUAAAUAACAAGUCCAUUGGUCAAGGAAUACCAGAGACGACCGGACAGAAACCUGGCAAUUCCGGAACUGAUUCGGGGUAUGGUACAAAGGAAGUAUCCUCCACAUCUGGAAUCGUUUCCAAACAAGCUAGCCAGAUGUCCAGUGAUCCUGGUUAUUAUUCUCCUCAACAAUCCUCUAUAGGACAAUCUGCUCUUUCAAAAUUCAAGGAAAUGACGACAUCGACAUCGCGAUUCCCAUCCUCGGGCUUUAUUAGUAUUGCUCAUAAACUAGAGUCGGGAUUUCAGUCUCUAAACAAAGACAGCAUAACUGUAAGUCAGAAUUUAGAAGAAAAUACCAAGAUUUUGGAGGAACAAAAUAAAAUGGUUGCACAACUGAGCCAAUUAGGACUAGCUGGUUCGGAAGACACAUAGGCCUUAAAAUAUCUAGCAAACUAGACAGGAAACGCUCAUAUUUCCUUUUGCGUAGAUGGUCAAAAGAUUGCAUCGGAAAAUCCCAAACAGACCUGUUUUAAGCCACCUGAUCUUGAAUCGAAAGUCACAACGGAUAGAAGAAGGAAAAAUACAAUGAAAAUGGAAUAAAAUCAGAUGCGACGUAUGGCAUAUAAACAUGGGAAGAAACCCCAGAAGACAUUUAAGUCAUCUAAAUGUCGCUUUCUUCCAAUUUUUCAACAGUCUAGUCUAAUAAGCUGAAAAAAUUAAUUGAUUAUUAGAAGAUUGAAUACUGAUUCAAUUGCUGGUGGGACUUUAAUCCUUUUAUUUGUAUAAACAUACUAGCUUUCAAAAUACUGAAAAAAAGAAGCUAAUGAAUGCACCAGUUUGUGUUUGAAUACACCAACAAACAAAACGUUUAAAUUCAAAAAGGAUUGACACCAUCAAGCAAUAGGUUUUCUAAAAUGAAAACGGAACCAAGCAGUAUAGAAACAUUCAAAGCUUAUUAAACAUUACGGAAUACUUGGGACAUUAAAAUAUGCGGUAUCCAUUGAUUCCAUUACACCGAUACAUCUUCAAUAUAAGGAUAUUACACUGUGUAAUAAUAUACUUGGAGUUAUGUUGAAACAACAACGAUAUGGAAGGAAAGAAACCAUGAUGCAUACAGAGCAACAGUUCAACACCAACUGGUUUGAAAUAUGUUGAUAUGUCUCAUUCCAACAGCAAUAGAUUACAAAGUAAUCAAGUAAACCAGAUACAAUAUUCGAUACAAAUUAAAACUUACCAUUGACCAACUUAUUAAUCUAGUGACCGCCUAUUCACUUGAUCAUUUUGCGGUAUCUAAUCGAGUCUUGGAAACUAGAAAACAGACAAAGGAACAAGACAGAAUAUGAUAUAUAUGUAUUUGUAUAUAGCGAUUUAUCUAUCAAUUAUUUAUGCAUUAAGAUAUUGUUGAUGAAAAAUUCAGGUUAUACAUUUGAGUAAAACACAACAUUUACAUG